rnacentral:rRNA from 1 species
GACGAAGGUCCCAAGCGUUACCCGGAUUUACUGGGCGUAAAGGGCGAGAAGGCGGUGAGACAAGUUCUUCCUAAAAGCCUCUUGGCCUAACCAAGAGGAAGGGAAGAAUACUGUUUCACUAGAGACUCUCAGGGGCCAGCGGAACGGUCGGUGUAGGGGUGAAAUCCGACGAUAUCGACCGGAACGCCGAAGGCGAAGGCAGCUGGCUAGGAGAGUUCUGACGGUGAGGAACGAAAGCUAGGGGAGCGAUCGGG